UACGAAGGGGGCUAGCGUUGCUCGGAAUUACUGGGCGUAAAGCGCACGUAGGCGGCUUUCUAAGUCGGGGGUGAAAUCCUGGAGCUCAACUCCAGAACUGCCUUCGAUACUGGAGAGCUUGAGUCCGGGAGAGGUGAGUGGAACUGCGAGUGUAGAGGUGAAAUUCGUAGAUAUUCGCAAGAACACCAGUGGCGAAGGCGGCUCACUGGCCCGGUACUGACGCUGAGGUGCGAAAGCGUGGGGCGCAAACAGG
rnacentral:rRNA from 1 species